CUACAACAUGUAUCUUAAUAAUUUACAUCAAGUUUGUCUAUAUAUCUCAAAAAAAAGAAGACUUGACUUCCAGCGGAGGGACUCGAACGAAUGUACAGCUACUGAAUGCCGAGACACCUACUAAAAGAUGGAUAUAAGUUACAAGGACCCCUCGUCCUAGUUACCUGCUGCCUCGUGAUCUGAAAACAUGAAGUUAAAAACGGUGAGUAUAAACCCGAGUGAACAAGAAAGGGAACAAGCAUACCAUAAGGAAUCUUUAAUGAAAUCAUGAGGCAUUCUUUUUCAAAACAAUGCAAUUUGUUUCUAUUCUUAUUAAAAAAACCCUCAUCAAAGCCCUUAAAUGAUUAAUCAUUUGAAAAUCAAGGACCCAUACAUAACAAACCAUUUGAAGAAUGAAAACUUCAAUAUUUCACAAGCAAGUCAAACACGACAACGAAUCUUUGCUGCAACGGAAAGGCAUACACUGCAGCGAGAAUGAAUUUUCGUUGCAGCGACGUUGGGAUUUAGUUAUUAGCCGAACGAAGGUUUCUCAACUAGCUGAGGGUUUCUCACUAAACCUCCCCAUUUUAAACUUAACUCAUCUAAUCUUUAAUGUUGGAAGUCCAUGCUCCGAUAUGAUAGCAAAGAAGUGAAAGAUAGGGCAGCAAUUGGACAAGAUAGGAGACCAAAACAGAAGAUUUUUCGCUGCAGCGAGAUUCUUUCUCGCUGCAGCAAAAUUGUAACCCAGAAACAGAAGGUUUCUCGCUGCAACGAAAUUCAGCUGAAGAAACAGAGAGUUUUUCGCUACAGCGAGAUUUCUUUUCGCUGUAGCGAGAAGCUACAGUGACUAUCUCGCUGCAGUGAAAUACAUUCUCGCUGCAGCGAAAACCAGUUCUGGUGAAGGUUUUCAAACCCGAGAGUUUCUCGCUGCAGUGAGAAUGAUUUUCGCUGCAACGAAAUACAGGGCACCAAACAAAAAUUUUCCUUUCUCCCAAAGAAAACCACCCUGCUUGAAAUGUUCAAAACCAAUAAGAAUUACAUAACAACUUCCCAAAGUUUAACUUACCGAAUCUCACAUACAUUACAUCCAUAUACAUAACUCAUAAAUUUCUUAUAACACACAUGUUUACGUAUGUAUACAUAUGUAUACAUAUACAUAUACCCAUCACCAUCAUGCAGACAAUCCCAUCAUCAUCAUGCACCCCAUCCCAUCAUCAUCAUCACCAGCUCAUGCGCACUCCCUACUCGCACAUGGCUGGGUCAUCACCGGGUUAUGCGCACUCCCUACUCGCACAUAGCCGAGUCAAUAUAAUUACACAACAUUAUAUUCAAGCAUAUAUGUAUAUCAACAUAAUGCAGCCACAUAGAAAUCCAUAAUAACCUCAUAUCAUAACAUAAACCAUUUCACAAGAGCUUGUUCCCAAGGCAUUCAAUUUUUAGAAAAGUUAUAUAAAAUCAUUCAAACACUUUGGUCAAAACAGUCAUAUUCCCAAAACAAUUUUGAUAGGUAGUCCACUCACCAAUUGAUUGUAGAGCCUUUAGAUGACUCCAAUUACUCUAAUUGUCCAAAUGAGAUGAUGGGGCUUCCUUAGAACCUAGGAUCACAUUAGCAUAAGCAAUAGGUCAAUUUUACACACUAUGAACCCUAAAAGCUAUCUCUUAGCUAGUUUUCAAUUGCCACAUUAAAUGACCAUCUAUGUUCACUAUCUUAAUCACUAAAAGUAAUGAACAGACUCAACAAUAAACAGCUCAUAAAUCCCUAGGGCUCCUUUGUAGUCAAAUUCUCUCCCAAUAGCUUCCAAAUAAAUGGUGUAAUUCUCUCUUUCUCUCUCUAGAACGUCCAGCUAAUGAGAAAAAGUAUGAAAACUAGAUUUUUGAAGGGUUUUAAAGUGAAAGGAUGAAAGAGCAUAAGGGUUUAUGGAAGAGUACACCAAAAGCAUGAAAAUUGGAGCUAGAGAGAGAAAGUUAUAGAAGCUUGAAGAAAACUCUCAUGGAGAAAUUGAAGAAACGUGAGAAAGGAGAAGGGAAGAAGAAGACCAG
rnacentral:lncRNA from 1 species